rnacentral:lncRNA from 1 species
GGAUGCUAGUGGCUACAGGUCCCAGUCUUUGCUUUCUUGAGUGGGAAGCGCGCGUGUGUUGGGGGUGGGUGGUCGUGAUCUGUGCAGUGUCUCCCAAACCACCACUUCCCCGCCCACCCACUAGCUGCUUGAAAAGCCUGCUUUCCUCCAGGUCGUCCCACGGCGUCUAUACCCGCCUCCCCUUCUCUCCAGUCUCGGUCUCCGCCCCCUAGCUCACUGGAGGCCUCGCCGCUUUAAGAGCCGGGGUAGCGAUUGACAAGCAAUAAACGCGGAGCGCCGGGCUGUGCUGGAGCCACCCCGAGCUAGGGGCCUCCAGGGGCUCAGGGUCCGUCUAGAGAGAGACCAAACCCCGCUGCCCACUGACGCUGCCCAUCCCCGCCCCCGCGGUGAGGGCUCCAAAGUGACGUCAGGCACAGAGCGGGUGAGCUGUUCGGGGCGCUGGUGUCCGUGCGGCCUCUCCAGGGGCUGUGCGGAUUCUGGGGACUUCAGAGCCAGGCAUUACGUAAGAAUCGCGCUGUUAGCUCUUCCAGGGGUGGGGGCGCAAGACAGAGAUUGUGUGGGUCCCCGUGGCUCCCCGGCCACCUUAGGAGACCAACACCUCAAUCCUUCCUGGGAGGGGGUCCUGGGAAGGGGGUGUGCUGCUGCUUCCGCCUCUCAGGUUGUAGAGGGGGCGGGUCUGGGGCGGGGGCCAAGGCUAAGAUCUGGGGACCUGGGAAGGGAUCGGUGCCAGGACCGAGGAGCCAGGGCCAGGAAAGUUAGGUCAACUGGGGCGGGGGCCGGGGGGGAGAGUGAGGACGGGGCGGGGGGGGGGCAGCCAUGCAGUGACCUCAUCCCUGGUCUCCAGCGGGCGCUCAAGCAAAGAGCCUUCUUUGAUGGCUCGCAACACACCCCCCUCCCUCUAGGUCCUAGCGCCCAACGUAUUAGUGCUGGACCCUGGGCCGGGGCGCUCUGAUUCUCAGUGCAUGCUGGCCCCCGCGACCACUUAGGCCCCCAUCCCUCAGUCUGUCUACCCCUCCCCACGACCUGUCGGUCUGCAAAGCGCCUUUGUCAGACCUUUCUUCUCUACAUCUCUUUGUACGUGUGUUGAUGGAGCUUGGAGGAAACCUCCCCCUUUCCCGGUGGGCCCGCAUCAUCUAGCAACCCUGAGCGAAGUGGAGAGCCUGGAGGUAGGGGUGAGGGGGCACAGGGCUCAGGCUUUAGGAAGCCGAGUUGCGGGUUCCCAGAUGCCUGGGCUCCUGACCUUGGCUCGGAGCCAGGCUGGCUUGCCUGGCACUGCUGUUCUCCUGUGGGCACAGCCGGACCCCGCCUUCUUCAAGGCUUUGGUGGGGGUGGGGCAGAGCUAGCCGAUGUCGUGGGAACCGACUCCCCAGGGAGAAAACCCAGGCUGGCUGGGCAAGACUUCUGGGGACAGGACCUCCCUGCCCCUUCCCAUUCUCCAACCUCUGGGGAAGGAGGACAUGUGGAAUUCUCUUUGCCAGUAACUGUCAGAGAGAGUAGCGCCAGCCAGGAGAAGGCUCUAGGUUCCAGGUCCUCAGAACCUGAGAGGGGGAGGAAGGGAUCCCUCCGCGACGCUCUCUAGGAAUAGGGACAACAGGAGUUGGCAUCCGGGGCACUACCUGGCACAGUGGAUCCUGGGCACUGCUCCAGCCUGGGUGCCAGCCUGACGGGGGGGGGGG